rnacentral:rRNA from 1 species
CACACCGCCCGUCACACCAUGGGAGUGGGUUUCACCAGAAGCAGCUAGCCUAACCGCGAAGGGGGGCGGUUGCCACGGUGAGAUUCAUGACGUGGGGUGAAGUCGUAACAACGGUACC